AUGUUAUCCUUGGAAUGCUUUUAUGUGUUAUUUGGCCCUAGGGGCAUUUUGGUAAAUUGGCCUUUUGGAUUAAUUGCAACAAAAAUGAAUUAUUUUACAUUUUAGAAAUAAAAUUCUGGGUUAUUUUCUCAGCUCUUGGCUGAACCUUAUUCUCCCUCUCCCUUCAAUCUUUUCACUUCAAAUCUUCCUCUCUUGUGUGUUGUUGAGCUUGUUGGAGCUUGGGGGAUUUUGGUGUGCUUUGAUUGUGAGAACUUUGAGGAUUACCGGCACUUGGUCAGGAGCACCCGGGGAUUUGAAAUCUCCAUAUUUUUGGGACAUCAGGAAAGGGUAAAUCUAUCUCUGAUCAGCCAUGAGUAUGGGAGUUGGGCGAUGUAUGUACAUGUUUGGGUUACACUAGACCAAGCAGGUUGGGGUCUACCAACGUUGAAACUUUUGUAACUCUAUUUCGCCGCUUAGGUCGGCUAAGGAGAAAAGACUUGUAAUAUUUUGUAAAAUGAUUUUUGGGAUCCCGAAACAUGUAACUUUUGUUUGUAAGGUUAAAAUUAUUACAAGUUUAUUUUCA